rnacentral:rRNA from 1 species
UACGGGGGGGGCAAGCGUUGUUCGGAAUUACUGGGCGUAAAGGGCUCGUAGGUGGCCAACUAAGUCAGACGUGAAAUCCCCAGGCUUAACCUGGGAACUGCGUCUGAUACUGGAUGGCUUGAAUUCGGGAGAGGGAUGCAGAAUUCCAGGUGUAGCGGUGAAAUGCGUAGAUAUCUGGAGGAACAUCGGUGGCGAAGGCGGCAUCCUGGACCGGUAUUGACGCUGAGGCGCGAAAGCCAGGGGAGCAAACGGG